rnacentral:rRNA from 1 species
UGGGGAAUAUUGCGCAAUGGGGGAAACCCUGACGCAGCCAUGCCGCGUGAGUGAAGAAGGUCUUCGGAUCGUAAAGCUCUUUCAACGGUGAAGAUGAUGACGGUAGCCGUAGAAGAAGCCCCGGCUAACUUCGUGCCAGCAGCCGCGGUAAUACGAAGGGGGCAAGCGUUGUUCGGAAUUACUGGGCGUAAAGGGCGUGUAGGCGGUCUAAUCAGUCAGUGGUGAAAGCCCUGGGCUCAACCCAGGAAUUGCCUUUGAUACUGUUAGACUAGAGUUCGGGAGAGGAUAGUGGAAUUCCCAGUGUAGAGGUGAAAUUCGUAGAUAUUGGGAAGAACACCAGUGGCGAAGGCGGCUAUCUGGACCGAUACUGACGCUGAGGCGCGAAAGCGUGGGGAGCAAACAGGAUUAGAUACCCUGGUAGUCCACGCCGUAAACGAUGUCUGCUAGUCGUUGGGGGGCGUAGCCCUUCAGUGACGCCGCUAACGCAUUAAGCAGACCGCCUGGGGAGUACGGCCGCAAGGUU